UACGGAGGAUGCAAGCGUUAUCCGGAUUUAUUGGGUUUAAAGGGUGCGCAGGUUGUUUGAUAAGUCAGUGGUGAAAGUCUGUCGCUUAACGGUAGGAUUGCCAUUGAUACUGUUAGACUUGAAUAUGGACGAGGUAGGCGGAAUGUGUAGUGUAGCGGUGAAAUGCAUAGAUAUUACACAGAACACCGAUUGCGAAGGCAGCUUACUAAUCCAUCAUUGACGCUGAGGCACGAAAGCGUGGGGAUCAAACAGGA
rnacentral:rRNA from 1 species